rnacentral:rRNA from 1 species
UACCCUCGGGUGGGGGAUAACCUCGGGAAACUGAGGCUAAUACCCCAUAGGCCUCGGAUACUGGAAGGUUCCGAGACCGAAAGCUCCGGCGCCCGAGGAUGGGUCUGCGGCCUAUCAGGUAGUUGGUGGUGUAAAGGACCACCAAGCCUACGACGGGUACGGGCCCUGAGAGGGGGAGCCCGGAGAUGGACUCUGAGACACGAGUCCAGGCCCUACGGGGCGCAGCAGGCGCGAAACCUUCGCAAUGCGCGAAAGCGCGACGAGGGGAGCCCGAGUGCCCUUCCUUUCGGGAGGGCUUUUCUGGAGCCUAAAAAGCUCCAGGAAUAAGGGCUGGGCAAGACGGGUGCCAGCCGCCGCGGUAAUACCCGCAGCUCGAGUGGUGGCCACUAUUAUUGAGCCUAAAGCGUCCGUAGCCGGACCCGUAAAUCCCUGGGUAAAUCCUGGCGCUCAACGUCAGGAAUUCCGGGGAGACUGCGGGUCUUGGGACCGGGAGAGGCCGGAGGUACUCCCGGGGUAGGGGUAAAAUCCUGUAAUCCCGGGGGGACCACCUGUGGCGAAAGCGUCCGGCUUGAACGGCUCCGACGG